CACGUGGGGCGCAAGCGUUGUCCGGAAUUAUUGGGCGUAAAGAGCUCGUAGGUGGUCUGCUACGUCCGCUGUGAAAAUCCAAGGCUUAACCUUGGGCUUGCAGUGGAUACGGGCAGACUAGAGGUAGGUAGGGGAGAAUGGAAUUCCCGGUGUAGCGGUGAAAUGCGCAGAUAUCGGGAGGAACACCGGUGGCGAAGGCGGUUCUCUAGUACGGUACUGACGCUGAGACGCGAAAGCGUGGGGAGCGAACAGG
rnacentral:rRNA from 1 species